GAUCCUGGCUCAGGACGAACGCUGGCGGCGUGCCUAACACAUGCAAGUCGAACGAAGCAUUAAGAGCUUGCUUUUGAUGCUUAGUGGCGGACGGGUGAGUAACGCGUGAGCAACCUGCCUUUCAGAGGGGGAUAACGUUUGGAAACGAACGCUAAUACCGCAUAACAUAUUUCAGUCGCAUGAAUGAGAUAUCAAAGGAGCAAUCCGCUGAAAGAUGGGCUCGCGUCCGAUUAG
rnacentral:rRNA from 1 species